GGUGAAGUCAACUGGGUAACGGGCGGGUCAGGGCAGUGGGCCGGGGCGAGACGAAGCAGGUGCGGAGUCUCGCGCGCUGAGAGUCCAGGGCUGAAGCAGCGCCAAGGCGGCGCAGGCUGGGGAAGGGACGAGAGCACAGUGCACGUGCUGGGUUGCCCCACGACGGGCGCCUCCGGGUGGUUCGCAUGAGGGGUUUACAGAACCCUGCGCGCGUGCCUCUGGAAGUUCUCUAACCCCAUACACCCUGGAAGGGGGCAGCCAUUGAAUCCCCUCAGGCUCCCUGCCGCCUGCGUCUACAUCCGCUCAGGGAGAACCUGACGCGCGAGGGAGCGGAGGUCCGGAGGAAGCGACCACAGAGGAGGCGACGCGAGGGUGAAGGACCUGGGGAACGAGCGAAGGGUGUCCAGGCGGAGCUCAGUGCACUAGGCGCAGAGAGGGAAAGGAUGGUGUUUUCGAGAGGGGAGAGCAAGCGGCGCACUGGGCUGCAGAGAAUAGCGGGAGCAGGCUGGGUUUCGGGUAGUGGGCUCUCGGCGGGGAAAGGACUGAGACCAAGUCGGCCUGUACCUUGAAGGCACCCGUAGGGUCCUUCUUUUGUAGCAAAGCGCCUCGGCUCCGCCCCCGCACGUGCCCCGGCCCGCCCCGCCCCAGCGGAGCCAGCCCACGAGGCCCCGGCCACGGCCCUGCCCGCGGCGGCUGCACGCGGAGCGGUUGUGGGCCGUUGGGAGGCGGCGCCGGCCGUGAAGCGCGCACCCUGAACAGCGGAGCGGCGGUCUGAGUGAGUUGAACUUACACUCCUUUUAGAAGAAUGGCUUUGUUGGAGUUCAGAAAGCUUAUGAUUCUUCUCUGGAAGAGUUUUACUUUAAAGGGAAGGUUGGACCUUUCAGUUAUACUGCUUUUCCUGUCAGUCAUGUACCUUCAUUCAUCAGAGCACCCAUCGCUUUUCCUUAUCCUUGGGAAUUGGCUUACGUGCCUUCCAAAAGUGUUGUGGUACAGAAUAUUGUUGAAAACGUGAAAAAGGACUUAAACACCAAUAUGCAAGUCGUAGGCUUUUCUUCAGAAAGAGAUUUUGACAAUUACGUUAAGCCAGAUUAAUUACUCUAAAAAGGUUCUGGCUGCUAUUGUUUUUGACCAUGACUUCCAAAAUAGCAAUGAUCCUCUGCCACUUAAGGUAUCAAACUCAGGACCUUGGCUUGCCACGCAGGCGCUGACACCACUGAGCUAAAUCCCCGGUCCAUUAAUUGUCUUUUAUUUGACACCAUCAAUGGAUUGGUAUAUGUGCUGCCGAAGUGAGCACAAGCAUUAAUGGAUUGGAAAGGCAAGCUACAGCAUGGGAGAAGACAUUGGACAAACAAGAAUGCAAUAGAAUAACAGCCACAGGCAAAAAUGGUCACAACAUAAAAAAGGGUAUAGAAAUACAUAUUUUUAAAAGUUUCUAACUUUAUGAAAAUUUAUCAAGAUAAUGAGCACUUAAAAACUGGCAUAAAGGUGCAUCUCUGUAAUACCAGCACUCUGGGAGGUGGAAGCAGGAGAAUCUCAUGUUCGAUCCCAGCCUGGACAACUUAAUGACUUAGUGAAACCCUAUAUAAAAAAAAAGGAUUAGGGAUAUAACUCAAUGCAAAGGCCCUAGGUUCAGUCUCUAGUACCAUAAAACAAAAACAGAAAACUCACAAUGAGAUAAUAUAUAUCUGCCAGGAUUACAAAUAUUAGAAAAUGAAAAUAGUAAAUAUUGACAAUGAUGUGGAACAACAUUAGCUUUUGGAAAACAGUUUUAUAUUCUCAAGUGAAAUAACCUGUGACCAAGUUAUCCCACUCCUUUUUUUUUUUUUCCUCCUAAUGAUGCCAAAAAGUUUACUUGAAAAGUGCGGGGUACACAGGUAUGAGAGAAACCAGCUCUGCAGAGUGAACUUGGCCAAACAAAGAAAAAAAGGGUAAAAGCAAAAAUAAAAGUACAUGCUAUGUUCAGACACAGCGCAGGCUACCAUGCAAACUCACACAUGAUACCCCUAGCCCUUGUUCUGUACCCAAUAGAAUCAUUUGUACAAAAAGUAUAAAUGAGAAAAAUCAUCAGAAUCAUUUAUCGUAGUUAUAAGAUGAAAUGUGUCCCCACAAAAUUCUUAUGUUGAAGCCCUAACCUCUGAUGUCUUAGAAUAUGACUAUAUUUGAAGGUAGAGACUUUAAAGAGGUGACUAAGUUAAAAUGAGGUCAGUAGUGUAGAUACUAAUCCAAUCUGACUGGCCUCCUUAAAAGAAAAGGAAAUUUGAACACACAAAGAGACAGAAAGGUUGCACAUGCACAGCAGGAAGACUGCACGUCGAUAUGGGGAGAAGGAGGUCAUCUGCAAACCAAGAAGAGAGGCCUCAGGGGACACCAGUCUUCCAACACCUGGAUCUUGGACUUCUAGCAUCCAGAACUGUGAAAAAAAAAUGAAUUUCUGUUGUGCAAGCUGCCAAGUCUGCUACUUUUUUAUGCCAGUUUGAGAAUAGUAAAAUUGAUAAAUUUUAAUGUAAUCAGGAUGAAAUUAUAUUGCAACAAUAAAAAUUAAACUAGGACUGUAAUCAACAUGAAUGAAUCUUAACACACUUAAUAUUGAGUGAAAGAAGCCAGAUACAAAGGGAUACAUAUUGUAUAAUUCAUAAAAACCUCAAAGUACAGCAAUACUAAAUUUUAACAGGGAUUCUGGCCUAUGUGAUCAUACUGUUAGGAAACAUAAAGAAAAGAAUAUAGUUACUUAUGAUAAAAGUCAGAAUAGUGGUUACACUUACAUGGGGUUGUAGGAGUGUAUUAUGAUAGUAUUCGUUGCGUGCUGGCAUUGUGGUAAUGGUCCAGAGUGUUGCUUUGUAAUAAUUUAUUGUGAUCAUUCAUUUGUGUUAUGUGUACUUUUAUAAAUGUUUUAUAUAUCAUAAUGAGGUUUAAAAUACUUGAAAUUUUUGUUUGCAUCUUAAUUUAUACAUUAAUUUGGCUAGAAUCUAUUCACAGUUUAUGGUUUUAAGUCUAAGAAGAAUACAUUUUGCUUAUUUAUCCAAUGAGGAAUUGGCUUUUCCUUGAAAAUGGAUGAUGAUUUGCAGUUUUGAAGAACUAUAUGUCUUUAAACCCAUGAAUUCCUAGGUCACCCCAGUGUACACCUCAGUGUAUUAAUUCUGUUUAGGUUUACAACAUGCUUAGUCAGAAACAAAACAAUCAUAGCUAUAGGUAUUGAAUUCAACUAUGAUCUGUUAAUCUUCCCUAUUGCUAUUGUUACGACCUCCAAGAACAUCAGUCAUCAAUUGUAUAAUGACUGUUCUGAGAUUACUCUUAUUAUGUGCUUCUUGGUUUUACUGCUGCAUAAUCAUGUAAUGACCCAAAGGGACACUUCUGCCAUUUAUGGAGAAAUCAUAAUUACUAGCCAAUGAGAUAAAAGAUUUUCAGAAAUUUGUUUCCUUUAACAGCUUUCAGGUUCCUCUUCACCAUCAUCCAUUCUAACUUAGGUCCCUCUUUGCGUUUCACCAUCUGAUUUUCAAUUUUAAUUACAAAUAUUUAAGAAGGGGCCAAGGAUAUAGCUCAGUGGCGCUGCACCUUCCUGGCAAAUGCAAGAUCCUGAGUUCCAUCCCCCGUACCAAAAAAAAAAAAAAAAAUUUAAGAAGGAGGGCCUCAAAUAGGUGGAUGUGAGGAGUAGACUGGAAUCAGAAAGAGUAAUUGUAAGGUAAUGGAUAACAGUGAUAGAUAGGUUCUGAAAUCACAAGAAAAUCUUUAGAGAAAUAGUAUCUCUUAAGAGAAAUGAUCUACUUUCUGGAAAAGUUAGUUUAUAGCUAAUACUAUUAGGAGAAAAUAUAUAGACUUUGUGUAUAAGUUUUUUUAAAUCACUGUUCCAAGUAGAAAGCAAAAUAAUUAAAAGAUGAUAGUAGUUCUGCUCACUAGAAGAUACUCCAGUGAAAAAGAGGUGCAGGCAUCUUAAUUUAUGCUCAUAGCCUCUGAUUUUUUCCUUAUGAGGCAGACUAACUUAAAUAAUGAAUACUUCCAUGCUAAAUUAAGGUAGUACUUGCUAUUUUCUUCUCUGAAUAUUCUGGCUUGGUUUAUGUUUGUACUUACCCUUCACCUUGUUUUUAUCUCACUACCUUCUACCCUGUGUUUCAGGGAAUAUUCAAAUACCAUAAAAUUAAUAUUUACAUCAUGGAUUACCACUUUCUGGAAACAAUGCUGAUCCUUGUAUUGUAUGGCUGGUCUGCCAUUCUCCUCACAUACCUGAUGAGCUUCCUGUUUUCUAAAAGUACUUCUGCAUGUAUCAAACUUGUCCUGUUCAACUACAUUUCAGGCACUUAUAGUAUCCUCCUAGAGCAAUUAUUAGAUAACAAAACUCCAGCUACAAUGUCUAAUGCCACCUAGACCUUGCUACGUAAUGCAUUACUGCUCUUUCCCAAUUACAACCUUGUGAAGUGCAUCAGUGACUAUACUGUUGUCUACAAAAUGAAGAUUCUGUGCACCCAGCAAAAUGUUCAUUACUUCCUAAAUUGUAGUAAAGAAAGCCUAGCCCUAGACAGUUACAAAUGCUACACCUGGCAGAUUUCUCAGAAGUCUGGACGUGGUACAUAACCGAUUUGCCUUUCCUGGAAUUUCAUACAAAUGGAAUCAUGUGGAUUUUUGUGUCAGGAUCCUGUCACUUUACAUAAUAUUCACGAGUGUUAUGGUACAAGUGAUCUCACUUGGCUUCUCCCCUUCAUAUCUGACAUCAAGCAAUGAAGUACAUAUAAAACUCACUUAGAUCCUACAUAGAACCAAGAGAAAAGUGAAGAGACAUUUUUUAUGCUCAAGUGGAAAUAUUCACGUUCAAGAGAAAAUAGAAUAAAUAUAUACUAAGGCUGCUCUGACGUCAGACUUUGGUCACUUCAUCAAGGUGUCAAAAACAACCUGCCAUUAUGAUUGAAGUCAUCUUAAACAUUUGAGUCAGACUGCAGCUCUUCGUGACUCAGAUGGGCGUGUCAGAUGGCGGACUGGGCGAGUACAGCUCCUCCCUCAAUGGCUGCCACGGAAACCUAGAACCUGGUCUGUGAAGUGCAGGGCUCUGCUGAGUAACACGCACCUGAGGUCCGCGUAACCCCAUUAAAAUCCUUUCCUCUGAAUUAUGGCUUCUCACUGACCCGAUGGGUUGCUUGCUAAUUGCACCCGGACCCAGUACCAGUCUGUUCUAUCCAAGCUAGAUAAACAGUGCUUCCUCCCUAACAGCCCUGUCUGGUGCCAUCAUGCCAGGUGUUCACUAGGCAGUAUCUCACUAGAUGCCUUCAAAGCACACCUGGGUCUCUAUCCCUCCCCACGAUUGUAUUCAAUCAAUAGUGGAUGCGCUUGGGCACCUUUGUCUUCGUUGCCAUCAGCAGCAUUGAUCAGGUCCCAAGACCCAACUUCUUUGCUCUAGGUCUCAUUUCCCAUCUGUUCUUUAAUCGCCUUGUGCUGUGGUGGCUUACAGGGCAGGACCCAUAGCAGAGGUCCUGGUAACGUCCCCUUCCCCAUUCCCUACAAGUUAUGUUUUGAUUUGUGGAUGUUACAACCUAAGAAUAAAGGGACAUUUUAAAUAGGUGAAGGUCUCUAAACAUAGGAAAGGUUGUGCACAUACAGGGAUGUGUGUGUUGGUCCCACUUGACCUGAACUGUUGGAUGACGAAGUUCCAAUGACUGGACUCUUAGGGGUCCAGAAGUUGGGAGGGAGGAGUUUAAAAGUACUAGAGGUAGCAGGGCAUGGUGCACAUCAACAAUCCUGGGAGGCCUAGACCAGAGGAUGGCAAGUUAAGAGACCAGCCUGGACAACUUAGUGACUUAGCUAUCCUCUGUCUCAAAAUUUUAAAAGAGCUGGGUUCAAUCCCUAGUAUGGGAAGCAAGGGGGAGAUCCUAGACAGAGCUUUGUAUAACAUAUUAACAAAUUUGAACUUUAUCCUGAAAAACAUGGAUAAGACACUGAAGUUGGCAAGAACCAGAGCAGUGUGCCCCAAAUUUUGUUCACUGGAUAGCACAUUCAUGAUUUGUGCCAUACCUCCAUAUCAUCAAUAGUUACUUAACCUUUUUUAAGUCAACACAUUUUAGUAAACGCAUUUAAAGAGGAAUUCAUUUACUAGGAUUGCUUACCAUAAUAAAAAAAAUGUAGUCAUUAAAAUGGAACGUUUAUUCAUGUACCAAUUUAUAAUCGUCUCAUGCAUCACUAGAGUAAGUCUACCACAUCGGGGAAACUACUGUGCAGUAUGGAUUGGGGAAACGGGGGUGGCUGAAGGCCCAGAAAUUGGGUUGGCGCAGGUUAUUGACUACAUCCGCUUGUUAGUCUGAGGCAGUCGUAAACAGUUCACACACAAGCCAAAGAAGGCACAAGUUUGCCUGUGCCUUGUAAUGUCUACACUACCGGCCUUUCGGAAACUUUAAUAUGCAUACGAAUCACAUCAAGCCUUAUAAAAACAUAGAUCCAGAUCAUAUAUGGGACUGGGAGAUGCUGUACUGUACUUCCAACAAACUCGCGAAGAUACUGAUGUUUUCCAACGUGCCAAUCAAAGCACAGGACUGUAAGUCCCGAGGGGCAGGGACCACACCUUCACCUUUAAUUUGGUACUGUGCCAGGCACAGGUCACCUUAGGUAACACCCACAGUCAACUCUCUCUCUCCCAUAUCAUCACAUGACAACCUUUCUCAAUAUGCAGGUUUCCGCUCAUUCGUCUCCUAUUAAAAACACAAAAACUAGUUUUGGGUCUUGUUUUCUUUAUAAGGCGAGCCUAGGAUGCAAAUCCCGAGAGCACAGACCUUCAUGAUGAUCACCUCAGGUUGAGGACCGACGUUAAAGUGUCCCUGGCCUGUUUUAGGGGAUACAAAGGCAACUAACGUCGCGCAAAGGCUCUUUCCUCACAGAACUAAUGAUCUAGCGAGGGGUUCAACAAGAAAGAAGCAAUCGCCGAGCUCCAUUGCCCAAGACCUCCGCAGAACGGAGGUUAGAAGAGAUGAGUCCUAAAAGUAGCCGCUAGCAAGUAGCCGGAAGUCCAGAGAGGGCCGG